rnacentral:rRNA from 1 species
AGCGAACGCUGGCGGCAUGCUUAACACAUGCAAGUCGCACGAGGGGGCAACCCCUAGUGGCGGACGGGUGAGUAACGCGUAGGUAUCUAUCCUGGGGGUGGGGGAUAACAGCGGGAAACUGCUGCUAAUACCGCAUGACACCUGAGGGUCAAAGGCGCGAGUCGCCUUAGGAGGAGCCUGCGUCCGAUUAGCUAGUUGGUGGGGUAACUGCCUACCAAGGCGACGAUCGGUAGCUGGUCUGAGAGGAUGAUCAGCCACAUUGGGACUGAGACACGGCCCAAACUCCUACGGGAGGCAGCAGUGGGGAAUAUUGGACAAUGGGCGAAAGCCUGAUCCAGCAAUGCCGCGUGGAUGAAGAAGGUCUUCGGAUUGUAAAGUCCUUUCG